GUCGACGGACUUGAGAGAGCUUGCUCUCUCAGUUAGUGGCGGACGGGUGAGUAACACGUGAGCAACCUGCCUUUAAGAGGGGAUAACGGUCGGAAACGACCGCUAAUACCGCAUAAUAUACAUGAAUCGCAUGGUUUGUGUAUCAAAGAUUUAUCGCUUAAAGAUGGGCUCGCGUCUGAUUAGCUGGUUGGUGAGGUAACGGCUCACCAAGGCGACGAUCAGUAGCCGUACUGAGAGGUAGAACGGCCACAUUGGGACUGAGACACGGCCCAGACUCCUACGGGAGGCAGCAGUGGGGAAUAUUGCACAAUGGAGGAAACUCUGAUGCAGCGAUGCCGCGUGAGGGAAGAAGGUUUUCGGAUUGUAAACCUCUGUCUUAAGGGACGAUAAUGACGGUACCUUAGGAGGAAGCUCCGGCUAACUACGUGCCAGCAGCCGCGAUAAUACGUAGGGAGCGAGCGUUGUCCGGAAUUACUGGGUGUAAAGGGAGUGUAGGCGGGAUGGUAAGUUAGGUGUGAAAUGCGGAGGCUCAACCUCCGAGCUGCACUUAAAACUGCUGUUCUUGAGUGAAGUAGAGGUUGGCGGAAUUCCCAGUGUAGCGGUGAAAUGCGUAGAUAUUGGGAGGAACAUCAGUGGCGAAGGCGGCCAACUGGGCUUUUACUGACGCUGAGGCUCGAAAGCGUGGGGAGCAAACAGGAUUAGACACCCUGGUAGUCCACGCUGUAAACGAUGAUUACUAGGUGUGGGGGGGGCUGACC
rnacentral:rRNA from 1 species